CCUACGGGUGGCAGCAGUAAGGAAUAUUGGUCAAUGGACGAGAGUCUGAACCAGCCACGUAGCGUGAAGGAUGACUGCCCUAUGAGUUGUAAACUUCCUUUAUAAAGGAAUUAAACGAGGCACGUGUGCCUUUUUGCAUGUACUUUAUGAAUAAGGAUCGGCUAACUACGUGCCAGCAGCCGCGGUAAUACGGAGGAUCCGGGCGUUAUCCGGAUUUAUUGGGUGUAAAGGGAGCUUAGAUGGGUUGUUAAGUCAGUUGUGAAAGUUUGCGGCUAAACCGUAAAAUUGCAAUUGAGACUGGCAGUCUUGAGUACAGUUGAGGUAGGUGGAAUUCGUGGUGUAGCGGUGAAAUGCUUAGA
rnacentral:rRNA from 1 species